rfam:Cicer arietinum chromosome Ca6, whole genome shotgun sequence.
AAAAAAGCAGUUGUCACCUUUGUGAACAGUCCUCUUGUAACCUUCAGGGACGCAAAAACCCUUGUUAUUGGGUGAACCUCUGUUCCCUUUUUGUGCUUGAAGGUUCAGUAAAUGAUGGAACAUUU